AGUGUUUCCUUUGUUUUCUGCUGCCUCUUUGUUGUGCAGAUCCAUAAAAUCUCCUGCAAUCGCUACUUCUCGUUCCUGCUACUGUAUUCGCCAGGCUAAUUUAUUUAAGAUCGAAAAUUGACGGAAUCCGGAGAAUGGUUUCCUGGCAUCAUGUUCCUCUAGUUGGCCGUUCAAGCAUGCGCACAUCUAUAGCUGUGAGCACGAAAACACUAAGGCCCUGGAAAGUCAUGAAAAUUUCCCACCCGAAAAACUCCUAGACUGCAGCAGGAUUCGAACCCAAUAAGAUAACACUGAAUCAACAAUUUGAUGUCAAAAAAUUCGGCUCGCGGACAUCCAUUUAUCCUCGGUUGCGCACCACGCUCGCCAAGUUUUUUGCAUCUUAUACCCACGUAGCUCGCUGCAUCUCCCGUUGUACCACCCGGAUCUGAUGCGAACACCAUCUAUGCAGGAUUGCUGCGUACAUAAUUAUUGUAACGUUUCCUGCGAGCUCGUCGUUUCAUCGGCACACAUCUUUCUCGAAUACUACGAGUGUUUAUCAUUCUCCAAUAUUCUAAAAGAUUCUAUACGUAAAGGACUACAAAGUGUUUUUCUAUAUGGUACAUUUGAUAUGAUUGUGAAUUUUCUUUGCCCAUGGUUGUGAUAAGUUCCGAAGUAAGGAAAGCUUUCUAAGACAAAUAAUAAUGUAACAAAUAUAUCAUUCCUGAAACUAUGUGCCGCCAGCAUUGGCACUGGUACAUCUCUAGCUCUCAUAUUCAUCAUAUUUAAAAAUAAAAGAAAUGCUUGGAAGAACUGUUUUUCUUAUUAACAAAACACUGAAUAAAAACCUAAUAAUAGGUAAUUUUUAACGUUUUCACGAAACCAAAACAAACAACAUAUACCUAUUUAUCGG